AGAGUUUGAUCAUGGCUCAGAACGUACGCUGGCGGCACGCCUAACACAUGCAAGUCGAACGAAGUAGCAAUACUUAGUGGCAGACGGGUGAGUAACAUGUAGGUAUCUGCCCUUUGGCCUGGAAUAACACGAGGAAACUUGUGCUAAUACCGGAUAAGUCUUUACGGAGAAAGCUUUAUGCACCAUUGGAUGAGCCUGCACUUGAUUAGUUUGUUGGUGGGGUAAUGGCCUACCAAGACUGUGAUCAAUAGCUGAUUUGAGAGGAUGAUCAGCCACAUUGGGACUGAGACACGGCCCAAACUCCUACGGGAGGCAGCAGUGGGGAAUCUUGCACAAUGGAGGAAACUCUGAUGCAGCGAUGCCGCGUGAGUGAAGAAGGCCUUUGGGUUGUAAAGCUCUUUCGUCGGGGAAGAAAAUGACUGUACCCGAAUAAGAAGGUCCGGCUAACUUCGUGCCAGCAGCCGCGGUAAUACGAAGGGACCUAGCGUAGUUCGGAAUUACUGGGCUUAAAGAGUUCGUAGGUGGUUGAAAAAGUUGGUGGUGAAAUCCCAGAGCUUAACUCUGGAACUGCCAUCAAAACUUUUCAGCUAGAGUAUGAUAGAGGAAAGCAGAAUUUCUAGUGUAGAGGUGAAAUUCGUAGAUAUUAGAAAGAAUACCAAUUGCGAAGGCAGCUUUCUGGAUCAUUACUGACACUGAGGAACGAAAGCAUGGGUAGCGAAGAGGAUUAGAUACCCUCGUAGUCCAUGCCGUAAACGAUGAGUGCUAGAUGUUGGGAAUAUAUUUUUCAGUGUCGCAGCGAAAGCAUUAAGCACUCCGCCUGGGGAGUACGACCGCAAGGUUAAAACUCAAAUGAAUUGACGGGGACCCGCACAAGCGGUGGAGCAUGUGGUUUAAUUCGAAGCUACGCGCAGAACCUUACCAACACUUGACAUGUCUGUCGCGGAUUCCAGAGAUGGAUUCCUUCGGUUCGGCCGGACAGAACACAGGUGCUGCAUGGCUGUCGUCAGCUCGUGUCGUGAGAUGUUGGGUUAAGUCCCGCAACGAGCGCAACCCUCACUUUUAGUUGCCAUCAUUAAGUUGGGCACUCUGAAAGAACUGCCAGUGAUAAGCUGGAGGAAGGUGGGGAUGACGUCAAGUCCUCAUGGCCCUUACGUGUUGGGCUACACACGUGCUACAAUGGCAUUUACAAUAGGAAGCAAGAUGGCGACGUCAAGCAAAUCCUAAAAAGAUGCCUCAGUUCGGAUUGUACUCUGCAACUCGAGUACAUGAAGCUGGAAUUACUAGUAAUCGCGGAUCAGCGCGCCGCGGUGAAUACGUUCCCGGGUCUUGUACACACCGCCCGUCACACCAUGGGAGUUGGUUCUACCUUAAGGCAAGGUUUAAAACCCUUGACCACGGUAUAGUCAGCGACUGGGGUGAAGUCGUAACAAGGUAGCCGUAGGGGAACCUGCGGCUG
rnacentral:rRNA from 1 species